GGGGGUAUAAUUCAGUGGUAGAGCAUUCGACUGCAGAUCGAGAGGUCCCCGGUUCGAACCGGAUGCUCCCU